GCAAGACUUUCCAUUUGCUUUAGAGUAAAGGGGAGGAAGCAACACUUGCCUGUCAGCCUGUCCUCUACCACCGUCUGCAGAAUAAACUGAACUCUAAGUCACCAUUAAAGAGAAGGAGUGAAAGGUAAAGAGAGAACGGGAGAGAAAGGGAAAUGCUCUCUGGCUUAUUCAUACAUUAGCUCUCCGCAAAGGCACAAAGCAGAAGGAGCAGCAUCAGCAACCUUGCAAGCAGUGACUUUAACUAUUUCUAAUUAAUACGAUCUGAGCUACUUUGAGAAGCCAAUUUAUUACUUACGCAUACAAGCUUGAGCUUUGCUGAAAACUGGAUGUGCCACGCACACCUUUGCUUCUGAUUUAUACAUAAAGACUUGCAUCUUUCACAGAAUAAACCUUAUCAGGAGAGAUUCAACUGAGGCAGGCAGCAUCCUCAUUUGCUGGUGGUGGAUCCCAAGGACCACUCCCCCAGUGGGAACGGC
rnacentral:lncRNA from 1 species